UGCCUCAGCCUCCCAAGUAGCUGGGACUACAGGUGUUCAACACCAGACCUCUGGCUAGAAUUUACAUUUUAAUAAGUUCCCGCUGUGACUUAAAUGCACAUUAAAGAUUGAGAAGCCAUGCAUUAGUGGAUUUGAUGAAGGGGCCAAGAGCCAUACAGUUUCUGUCACAACUAUUUAACUCUGCCAUUGUAGUACGAAAACAGCCUGAGACGAUAGAUAACACAUACACAAGAUGGACAGAUGUUGAAAUUUGCUGUGUUCUAAUAAGACUGUCAACAAAAACAAGUAAUGCAAACACAUUUUGAGUUUCUCAGCUGAGCCAAAGGAAAUCAAGAAAUCUCUUGAAAUCAAGGAAAUCAAGGAAUCAAUUACUUACACCAAGCUGAGCAAGAGACAACUUGAAGGCAGAGGUAGCAGUAAUCAGACAAGAUUUCCAAGGCAACCUGGUGGUACUGAGGCAGGAGGCAGAACUCAACGCUGGA